rnacentral:rRNA from 1 species
AGAAAGCUCCGGCUAACUCCGUGCCAGCAGCCGCGGUAAUACGGGGGGAGCAAGCGUUGUCCGGAUUUAUUGGGCGUAAAGGGCGCGUAGGCGGGAUAGUAUGUCGGUGGUGAAAAUUCGGGGCUCAACCCCGAACCGGCCUCCGAAACUGCUGUCCUUGAGUGCAAGCGAGGGAACUGGAAUUCCUGGUGUAGCGGUGGAAUGCAUAGAUAUCAGGAAGAACACCGGUUGCGAAGGCGAGUUCCUGGAUUGACACUGACGCUGAGGCGCGAAAGCGUGGGGAGCAAACAGGAUUAGAUACCCUGGUAGUCCACGCCGUAAACUAUGGGCACUAGGUGUUGGAGGUAUCGACCCCUCCAGUGCCGCAGCUAACGCA